rnacentral:rRNA from 1 species
AGAGUUUGAUCCUGGCUCAGAACGAACGCUGGCGGCAUGCCUAACACAUGCAAGUCGAACGAGAAGUCCCGCAAGGGAUUGUAAAGUGGCGCACGGGUGCGUAACACGUGGGUAAUCUGCCCUCGAGCUUGGGAUAACUCUUCGAAAGAAGAGCUAAUACCGGAGAGACCACAGGAGCAUCAGCUCUAGGGGUUAAAGGU